rnacentral:rRNA from 1 species
CCUACGGGCGUCAGCAGUGGGGAAUAUUGCGCAAUGGGCGAAAGCCUGACGCAGCGACGCCGCGUGAGGGAUGAAGGUCUUCGGAUCGUAAACCUCUGUCAGCAGGGAAGAACGGUCACUGUGCUAAUCAGCAGUGAAUUGACGGUACCUGCACAGGAAGCACCGGCUAACUCCGUGCCAGCAGCCGCGGUAAUACGGAGGGUGCGAGCGUUAAUCGGAAGUACUGGGCGUAAAGCGCUCGUAGGCGGUAUGUCAAGUCACGGGUGAAAUCCCCGGGCUCAACGUGGGAACUGCCUUUGAAACUGGCAAACUGGAGUGUGUGAGAGGAUAGUGGAAGUCCAGGUGUAGGAGUGAAAUCCGUAGAUAUCUGGAGGAACAUCAGGGGCGAAGGCGACUAUCUGGCACAUAACUGACGCUGAGGAGCGAAAGCGUGGGUAGCAAACAGGAUUAGAUACCCUGGGAGUC